UUUUAUGAGAGUUUGAUCCUGGCUCAGGACGAACGCUGGCGGCGUGCCUAAUACAUGCAAGUCGAACGCUUCUUUUUCCACCGGAGCUUGCUCCACCGGAAAAAGAAGAGUGGCGAACGGGUGAGUAACACGUGGGUAACCUGCCCAUCAGAAGGGGAUAACACUUGGAAACAGGUGCUAAUACCGUAUAACAAUCGAAACCGCAUGGUUUUGAUUUGAAAGGCGCUUUCGGGUGUCGCUGAUGGAUGGACCCGCGGUGCAUUAGCUAGUUGGUGAGGUAACGGCUCACCAAGGCCACGAUGCAUAGCCGACCUGAGAGGGUGAUCGGCCACAUUGGGACUGAGACACGGCCCAAACUCCUACGGGAGGCAGCAGUAGGGAAUCUUCGGCAAUGGACGAAAGUCUGACCGAGCAACGCCGCGUGAGUGAAGAAGGUUUUCGGAUCGUAAAACUCUGUUGUUAGAGAAGAACAAGGAUGAGAGUAACUGUUCAUCCCUUGACGGUAUCUAACCAGAAAGCCACGGCUAACUACGUGCCAGCAGCCGCGGUAAUACGUAGGUGGCAAGCGUUGUCCGGAUUUAUUGGGCGUAAAGCGAGCGCAGGCGGUUUCUUAAGUCUGAUGUGAAAGCCCCCGGCUCAACCGGGGAGGGUCAUUGGAAACUGGGAGACUUGAGUGCAGAAGAGGAGAGUGGAAUUCCAUGUGUAGCGGUGAAAUGCGUAGAUAUAUGGAGGAACACCAGUGGCGAAGGCGGCUCUCUGGUCUGUAACUGACGCUGAGGCUCGAAAGCGUGGGGAGCAAACAGGAUUAGAUACCCUGGUAGUCCACGCCGUAAACGAUGAGUGCUAAGUGUUGGAGGGUUUCCGCCCUUCAGUGCUGCAGCUAACGCAUUAAGCACUCCGCCUGGGGAGUACGACCGCAAGGUUGAAACUCAAAGGAAUUGACGGGGGCCCGCACAAGCGGUGGAGCAUGUGGUUUAAUUCGAAGCAACGCGAAGAACCUUACCAGGUCUUGACAUCCUUUGACCACUCUAGAGAUAGAGCUUCCCCUUCGGGGGCAAAGUGACAGGUGGUGCAUGGUUGUCGUCAGCUCGUGUCGUGAGAUGUUGGGUUAAGUCCCGCAACGAGCGCAACCCUUAUUGUUAGUUGCCAUCAUUCAGUUGGGCACUCUAGCAAGACUGCCGGUGACAAACCGGAGGAAGGUGGGGAUGACGUCAAAUCAUCAUGCCCCUUAUGACCUGGGCUACACACGUGCUACAAUGGGAAGUACAACGAGUCGCGAAGUCGCGAGGCUAAGCUAAUCUCUUAAAGCUUCUCUCAGUUCGGAUUGCAGGCUGCAACUCGCCUGCAUGAAGCCGGAAUCGCUAGUAAUCGCGGAUCAGCACGCCGCGGUGAAUACGUUCCCGGGCCUUGUACACACCGCCCGUCACACCACGAGAGUUUGUAACACCCGAAGUCGGUGAGGUAACCUUUUUGGAGCCAGCCGCCUAAGGUGGGAUAGAUGAUUGGGGUGAAGUCGUAACAAGGUAGCCGUAUCGGAAGGUGCGGCUGGAUCACCUCCUUU
rnacentral:rRNA from 1 species